rnacentral:rRNA from 1 species
GUGCCAGCAGCCGCGGUAAUACGUAGGGUGCAAGCGUUGUCCGGAUUUACUGGGUUUAAAGGGUGCGCAGGCGGGCGACUCAGUCUGUGAUGAAAUGUCAGGGCUCAACCUUGGCGCUGUUGCGGAAACUGGUCGUCUUGAGAGCCGUCGAGGCAGCUGGAAUGAGUGGUGUAGCGGUGAAAUGCGUAGAGAUCACUCAGAACACCAAUUGCGAAGGCAGGUUGCUAGACGGUGUCUGACGCUCAGGCACGAAAGCGUGGGGAGCAAACAGGAUUAGAAACCCUCGUAGUCC